AUUGAACGCUGGCGGCAGGCCUAAUACAUGCAAGUCGAACGAGUGGCGGAGGGGUGAGUAAUGAAGGGGAAACUGACUGAAGGAGGGGGAUAAGGAGUGGAAAAGGUAGCUAAAAGCGCAUAAAAUGGGAUGGGGCGAGAUGGGAGUAGGGAGUAGGUGGGGUAAAGGCUCACCUAGGCGACGAUCCCUAGCUGGUCUGAGAGGAUGACCAGCCACCCUGGAACUGAGCCACGGUCCAGACUCCUCCGGGAGGCAGCAGUGGGGAAUAUUGCACAAUGGGCGCAAGCCUGAUGCAGCCAUGCCGCGUGUAUGAAGAAGGCCUUCGGGUUGUAAAGUACUUUCAGCGGGGAGGCGUUACCCACAGAAGAAGCACCGGCUAACUCCGUGCCAGCCGCCGCGGUAAUUC
rnacentral:rRNA from 1 species